GUGGGCCCUGCCCCACGGAGAUUCAAGGCAGCCAGGAGGGAAGACCAAGGCCCACAGAUGAUGGAGCAGCAACUCCCAGGCAAGGUGUCACAGCCAACUUCCAACAUAAGCCCCUGGAGAUCGAUCAGAGGCCGUCACCGAUGGUAACUGCUGCCAGAAACAGUCGUGGUUCAGGCAGAAAGCACAUCCUGCUUGUCCGGGGAGCGUGUGCCCAGGUGUUCUCAGGACACGCAGAGAAAUCCGAAGAAACCAGGCAUAGCCCUCGACAUUCGAGAAGAACCUGUUUUCUGCUGGCAAACGCAGUCCCGACCAGAAUCCCGUCGGUCCACUUUCUGGUGUGGCGGCGAGGCCCCCAGGCGUAUCCUUUCCUGAUGAGCAGAAUCUAACUGCCGAUUUGGAGGUCUCUACAAGCGCCAAACAGCUUCUAAGGGGCCGGAAAGUAGUUCCGACAUCUGGAGGAAACCCGGCAACGUUAAUAGUCCCUUAAAUAUGUGUGCAUUUCAUCGCUGAGACGGGUGUUUCACGGAGACGAAACCGUCGGGCGCGUGUGAAGGUCCCCGCCGAGCUCCUGGCACAUCUCUGCUGACAGAGCUCCCUGAGCUGUGAUGCUUAGAAAGUUCUUUCCCCGUCCCAGGAAACGUUUGCUGACUGCUUCCUGAUCAUUUUUGCUCACUCUUCUACGUCCUGCUCUCUGAGGCCACAGGGACGACUCAUUCCGGGCACUGGCCUUCAGACGGCUUUGCGUCCUCUCAAGGUGGCUCUGUCCACUUCUACUGACCAGCCUUCGUGGCACGUGGUUCUGGAUCCUCUCACGUCCCGCUCCCCCAUCAUCAGGACCUGCUUCCAUGGUCAAAACCCUUUAACCAAACUCUGAAGUGCCGCGUCCGACGGUCACGUUUUAAUCCUCAUUCUCACUCAUCUCUUCUUCUGCAUCGCAAGAACAGUCCACUGCUUUCUCCUGGGGUUAGAAUCUAAGACUCUGCCCAGGACAAGCUCUAUGGCCAUAGACAAGUUUCUUAACUGCCUCAGUUUCCCCAUCUGCAAAGGGAAGUAACUGUGUUCCUCCCAAGGUUGAUGUGAGUACUGAAUUAUGAGGUAGUAACCUUCUUGCGCAGAGCCCAGCACCUAGGAAGCACUCGACAAACAUCAGCUGGUCCUGUCGUGCCGUCUGGCGGCUGUUUUAUGACGUGCUUUGGGUAUAUUAUUUCAAGUGUUCAAACAACCUUUUCAGAAGUUAACACUGAGGCUCAGAGAGGUUGAGUAACUUUCCUGAGGUCCCACAGUUAACAUGCAGUGGAGGCGGGUUGGAACCAGGCUUGACUUUCAAAGACACGUUCUUCCCAUAGGGCCACCAGGCUCAGCCUGGCACGGCUCCUUCCCUCCUGCCUGCCUUCUGAAUGUGGGUGGUCCCAGGGUUGGGCCUCUUCCCCCCCAGAUUGCACAUUCUGAGUGAUCACGUCUCCCCCAUCGUCCUGACCACCCCCUCCAUCAAUUAUCCCCAAAUACAAAUCCUCCUCCAGCUGCCACCUCCCUCCGGAGCCCCAGACCCCUAUUUCCAAAGACGGUCCCCGGCCCCACCGAGCAGUCCGCAGGGGCCUCUCCCGUCUGUCCUCCUCCUGCCACGCAUCUCUAUCGGGAGGAGCGAAAUAGGCCUGGAUGCUUAAGCCAGGGUCCCGAGGGUAGAACUCUGAGCGCCAUCCUCGGAUCCGGGAAAGACGGGUGCUGCUUAUUAGGGAGGACGAGGGGGCCGGAGGGGUGACAGGCGAGGGACGCGAGGAGCCUCACAGGCUGUGCAUUGGUUCAUUCAGUUAUUCACUGAACAGAUAUUUACUGAGUGCCAGCAAAGCGCCCAUCACUGCCCUCGAUCCGGGGACACGAACGUGCCUAGGACGUGGCUCCUGGCCUCUGGGAGAGAAAGCUCGCCAACGACAAAGUAUAGCCAAAUGCCAGAGCCGGUGCGGGAGGGGGAGGGCCCUCAGCCCUUUCCACCUCCAUCCCCAAGAGGAAGAGUCACGGACCGCGCCUCACUUACCAGUGGGCAGGCGUAGUGGGUUGAACGGUGGCCCCCGAAAGAUACGCCCAUGUGUUAACCUUGAAUGUGACCUUAUUUGGAAUAAGGGUCUUUGAGGCUAUAAUGAAGUUAAGGAUCCUGAGAACGGAUCAUCCUGGAUUAUCUGGGUGGACCCGAAACCCACUGACAGGCGUCCUUAUAAGACAGACACACAGAGGACAGACCCACAGAGGAGGGGGCUGUGUGAAGAUGGAGCAGA